rnacentral:rRNA from 1 species
AACGAACGCUGGCGGCAUGCCUAACACAUGCAAGUCGAACGAGACCUUCGGGUCUAGUGGCGCACGGGUGCGUAACGCGUGGGAACCUGACCUUAGGUUCGGAAUAACUCCCCGAAAGGGGUGCUAAUACCGGAUAAUGUCUUCGGACCAAAGAUUUAUCGCCUUUGGAUGGGCCCGCGUUGGAUUAGCUAGUUGGUAGGGUAAAAGCCUACCAAGGCGACGAUCCAUAGCUGGUCUGAGAGGAUGAUCAGCCACACUGGGACUGAGACACGGCCCAGACUCCUACGGGAGGCAGCAGUGGGGAAUAUUGGACAAUCGUCGAAAGCCUGAUCCAGCAAUGCCGCGUGAGUGAUGAAGGCCUUAGGGUUGUAAAGCUCUUUUACCCGGGAUGAUAAUGACAGUACCGGGAGAAUAAGCCCCGGCUAACUCCGUG